rnacentral:lncRNA from 1 species
GCAGGGUGAGAGGCAACGGACCAAGUGUCCAGAGAGCAACACGGAUAAGCACAGUGUUGAGUGAGAGGAGGAGAAGACAAAAUGAGACUUUAGCGCCAUUUAUGCAAAACCACAUGAGCAUACAAAACGCUGCUGUACACUGUGACACUGGGUACACCUUGAUUAUGAUCCUUGAGAUGGUGUGAUUCUUCACAUGAUUCAACAUGCUGAGGCAUCUAUUUCUCCUAGCAGAUCAGACACUUGAAGCAACUUUUCCUGAAAAGAGGACUGUUUCUGAAGUGAAAGUCUACUUCAUAAGACAAAACAAAUCAAAAGCUUCUGAACUUAAGAAAGCACAUAGCCAGUGCGAUAAUCCUCUCACGCGGCUCUUGGAGGCCACUCAACAGAGUUGUCAUGACAGUGUGAGAGGAACUUUCCAGAGUUCUGCAGUGAAUCAGUCCUCAGCAGUUCAGAACGUACCAGAAAGGAAGCAUGAUGAAAUCAUCUCCGUAUUUUCAUCAACAAUAUCCUUGACUGUAAAAGCUUGAAGUGCAUUAAAUAAAACUUCAGAGAAGUCCCUCA